GAUUUAAUGCGGCCAUAGUCGGUCACAAGCCCGAUUGAGAAACGCAGAGUGAGUC
rnacentral:ribozyme from 2 species